GUUCUUUUCUUUAUCUCUGCUUAUACCUUCGAGGAAUCGGUAUAAAAGCCGGAGCGUUCAAACCGGUUCGUCACAACUUCCCCACAACUGCUUCAAGGAAGAUAACGCUCGCACAAAAGAUCAUCUCAGUUCGUCAAACACAAUGGCCACUAAUUUGAAAAUUACAUUGCUCGUGGUUGCUUUGAUGCUCGUCGCUAUGGCAAUGGCGACAAAAGUCAAAAUAUAUUAUGGCCAUGGUGGUUAUGGUGGUUAUGGUGGAUAUGGUGGAUAUGGUGGAUAUGGUGGAUAUGGCGGCUAUGGCUAUCCAUAUGGAGGCUAUAGCGCUGGAUACGGACAUGGCUAUUACAGCGGAUACGGCUAUUGAGCAGCGUCUUGAUGAGUGAACGCAAGACUUGUGUUGUUUUUAAAAAUCCUGAUACACUUACCUUCGUUUUAUAUUUGUAUGCACAUACCCGGCAGGCAUAUACAUUGUACUAUUUUUCAAAUAAAGCAUGGCUAAGCAAUUCUGCAAUACAGAAAGAAUCCAUUUAUUUAAA